rnacentral:rRNA from 1 species
AUGAGUGGACUGCGGCUUAUUUGACUCAACACGGGGAAACUUACCAGGUCAAGAUACACGGAUGAAGGACAAGCUGAUAGACUUUUCCCAAUGAUGUAAGUGGUGGUGCAUGGCCGUUCUUAGUGCGUGGAGUGGUUUGUCUGGUCUAUUCCGAUAACGCGCGAGACCCCGACGCUUUAAGUAGGUGCUGUAGCCCGGUUUGGCGAACUACUAGUGGUCUAGUAGCCCCGGUUCGCCGGGGCGAACGGCGUGCUAGCGCCUUGCCAGCUGCAGCCCUGCGCAAGCAAUUUCUUCUUAGACGGAUCGAGGCCGACAAGGUCUCUGAAAUGGGUUAAUAACAGGUCAGUCAUGCCCUUAGAUGUUCUGGGCCGCACGCGCGUUACAAUGGCAUGCAAAACGAGUGUUCGUUACGAGCUUUCCCAGGGCCGACAGGGUCUGGCAAACCCUAAGGCAUGCCUCGACUGGGCUAGACUCUUGCAAUUAUGGGUCUUAAACGAGGAAUUUUUAGUAUUCGCGGGUCAUCAACCCGCGGGUAAUGCGUCCCUGCCCUGAUGGGACGUGGUGCGGGGGCGGGAAGGGGGGCUGGUCGGAGCCUUCCCUCCGACUCCAACCCACGUCCAGGGGCGGACAGGCGGGUCCCUUGGUCGCAAGGGCUCGUCGCUAGUUCAGACCGAAGCGGGCCUCGAGGCCGGUCACGCAUGCGUCAUCAUUUCGUACAUGCAUUCGGAGAGGCUUACGUGCGUCAUCAUUUUCGUACACGUAUGAGAGGGACUUGCGUAGUUGUACACGCAUACAUGGGGAGGCGAGCAACAUUGUUCAACAGCAGGAACGCUCUGAGCGUCCCUCAGCAACUACCCGUGCGCUUACUAGAGCGAACAAAGGCCGGCUCACCCACUUCGGUGGGGAAAUGCGGCGCCCUGCUUCGGCGGGGCGUGCGUUGCCAGGCUUCUCGGGCGAGUAACAUGGCUUUGGGAUAAUCGAGGAGAGUAAUCUGCGGCCAAUGUCUAAGCGCAGCGGAAACCGGGUCGCAUCUAAGGCUACCCUCGUCUCUCGACGAGGAGUGCAGUGCACAUUUGCGGCGGCGGUCCACUGCGUACGGACGGCAGUACACAGACUAGAUGGGAAUGGGCGGGGGGCGGCCCUGCGGGCGAACCUGCUUAAGGAAUAGUCGGUCCAUGGCAAGGACCGCCCGUGACGACGGGCACCACUGGGACGCGCAAGGCGCGGCCGCGCGCUGACCACGCGCGGCCAAUCGCGUCGCCAGGGGGUUGUCGAGCCCGGCGAGGGACUUCGACCUCUGUGGCAUGCGAGAGCGAGAGGGAUGGAUCG